rnacentral:miRNA from 1 species
GGAAACCUCUGGGUUCUGAGCU